AUGGACAACCUCCCUGCUUCGAGCACCCCACGCCUCCACUUCGUCGCCGCCUUGAACCACCCCUCUUCCUUCCCAGGUGGCUCGUCGCCACUGCCAUCCCCCAGCCAAUGUCAUCGCCGGCUCGCCAAUAGGCCCACCACCGUGCGCCUUAGCCCACCACCAUCGCCUCGUCUCGUGUCGCCAUCUCCCCUCAACACAGUGCGCUGUGGCUGCUACACAUUAACUCCGCUCGACAUCGCCGCCUGCCCACCGCUGUCGGUGCUGUCGAUUUGUCGUCAUCCUCAACUCUGCAUCUUCGCCAUAAGGAAGGCAAUGCAAUGGAUGGGGAUAUUGGCGGUUUCCUGUGGACAAAGGGGAAAGAUGGUAGCGACAAUAGCGGUGGUUUCCUGCGGACAAAGGGGGAGAGAUGGUAGCGACAACGGCUGGCAGCACGAGCUUGAGUCGCCUGACAGUUGCUUGCCUUCCUCUGGAUUGUGCACACAAGAACUGUUGGCCAGGUUCUCCCUCCAUUUUAGCUUAAACUCAAUUGGUGAUGAUGAACAACCCACAACCAUGGAGAUCAACUAUUAUUACUAUAAGCGUAAGGGGGCAUGUGCCCCCAUCUGUGCUCCGCUCCGUUGCAUCGUUGCAACGACGGUGCGGAGAGGGCAAGAUAAAAGAGGUGCUAAUAGUCGCGGUUGGUCGCGUUGUGCUCAUCUACAAAGAAUCGUGCGUAUGCAUGUCUUGAUGGAUAUGCUUACCGACCUUAUGGAGAUUUGUCUUUGUGGAUAUAUGGUUUGCGGUGCUUUCGGGUUGCUGGAUUUGUCUUACAGAGAUGUCUCGGUGGAUAUGUGGUUCUCCCUCCACUUUAGUUUAAGCUCCAUUGGUGAUGAUGAGCAACCCACAACCAUGGAGAUCAACUAUUAUUACUAUAAGCGUAAGGGGGCAUGUGCCCCCAUUGCCUCCUUGUGGGCUUCGCUCCAUUACAUCGUUGCAACGACGGUGCGGAGAGGGCAGGAUAGAAGAGGCGCUACUCGUAGCAGUUGGUCGCGCUGUGCUCGUCUACAAAGAAUCAUGCGUAGGUAUGUCUUGGUGGAUAUAUGGUUUGCGGUGUUUUGGAGAUGCUGGAGUUGCUCGGUGGAUAUGUGGUUUGAGGUGCUUUGGAGUUCCUGAGUUGCUCCUU
rnacentral:lncRNA from 1 species